rnacentral:rRNA from 1 species
GAGUUUGAUCCUGGCUCAGGAUGAACGCURRCGGUCUGCUUAACACAUGCAAGUCGAACGGGACUCUAUUGAGUUUUAGUGGCGGACGGGUGAGUAACGCGUGAGAAUCUGCCUAGAGGUUGGGGACAACCACUGGAAACGGUGGCUAAGACCCAAUGUGCAAGUUCUGUGAAAGAUUUAUCGCCUCUAGAUGAGCUCGCGUCUGAUUAGCUAGUUGGUGAGGUAAAGGCUCACCAAGGCUCCGAUCAGUAGCUGGUCUGAGAGGAUGACCAGCCACACUGGGACUGAGACACGGCCCAGACUCCUACGGGAGGCAGCAGUGGGGAAUUUUCCGCAAUGGGCGAAAGCCUGACGGAGCAAGACCGCGUGAGGGAGGAGGGCUCUUGGGUUGUAAACCUCUUUUCUCAGGGAAGAACUCCAUGACGGUACCUGAGGAAUCAGCCUCGGCUAACUCCGUGCCAGCAGCCGCGGUAAUACGGAGGAGGCAAGCGUUAUCCGGAAUUAUUGGGCGUAAAGCGUCCGUAGGUGGUCAUGUAAGUCGGUCGUCAAAGCCAGAGGCUCAACCUCUGUCCGGCGGUGGAAACUGCAAGACUAGAGAGAGGUAGGGGUAGAGGGAAUUCCCAGUGUAGCGGUGAAAUGCGUAGAGAUUGGGAAGAGCAUGCAGGUGGCGAAAGCGCGCUACUGGACCUUUGCUGACACUGAUGGACGASAGCUAGGGGAGCGAAUGGGAUUAGAUACCCCAGUACGUCCUAGCCGUAAACGAUGGAUASUAGAUGUUGUCUGUAUCGACCCAGACAGUGUCGUAGCGUAAACGCGUCAAGUAUCCCGCCUGGGGAGUACGCACGCGAGUGUGAAACUCAUACGAAUUGACGGGGGCCCGCACAAGCAGUGGAGUAUGUGGUUUAAUGCGAUGCAACGCUAAUAACCUUACCAUGUACAUGACGUGUCUCGAAUCUUCGGGAAUCCUGAGGAGUGCCUGGUGGGAACGCGAUCACAUGUGGUGCAUGGCUGUCAUCAGCUCGUGUCAUUAGAUGUUGUGUUURAGUCCCGGCAACGAGCGCACACCCUCGYCCUCUAGUCUGCCAUCAUUAAGUUGGGCACUCUGGGGAGACUGCCGGUGACAAACCGGAGGAAGGUGGGGAUGACGUCAAGUCAGCAUGCCCCUUACGUCCUGGGCGACACACGUACUACAAUGCGACGGACAAAGGGCAGCGAACCAGCGAUGGUCAGCUAAUCCCACAAACCGUGGCUCAGUUCAGAUCGCAGGCUGCAACUCGCCUGCGUGAAGGCGGAAUCGCUAGUAAUCGCCGGUCAGCAUACGGCGGUGAAUUCGUUCCCGGGCCUUGUACACACCGCCCGUCACACCAUGGGAGCUGGUUUAGCCCGAAGUCGUUACCCUAACCUGCAAGGGGGGGGGACGCCCGAAGG